AAGAAAAAAACGGCAUGGCGCUGCGUGCGGCCGUGGUAGUUUCGGUCUUUUUCCGUGCACAGCGAGCAUGCUUCGCCCAUUUCGUCAGCGUCGCGCUCCAGCGUUGCAGUUUUGUUGGUUUCGUUGCGUGGCUUGUCAAGUUUAGAUUGAAAAAUACCAAAAUGACGUGCCAGUGUGCGUUGAGAUUGACCUGUCGGCCGGACACCUUUCCCACUGGUAUUAGCACUGCACAGAAGCAUCGAGCGCGGCAUACCUGGAAGGUGCUUGGUAAACCUGGUCGAGUGAGCGAGGCGGCCUGUCGUCGUACGCGGAAGCCCGACGGGGCAGUCGCGAACACCUCUUUCUGCGCGUCGUUGUGAACGUGAGGCGGAGCCGCUGGAAAGGUUCUCAUCACGCCAGGGCCAGUCUUCACACGAACGCAAGCACAAGCGUUUCCAGGUGCUCGAGACAGUGGCCGUCAUGAAAGAUCUUCGAAGUCAACGACCCUUCGGACCACUGUCCGGAGUCAACGCGUACCUCGUCGGCAUGGUUCUCGGAAUCAAGUUGCCAAAGCGUGGGGCUUGGACAUCGUCAUUGCGUGGUGCAUUUGUAGACCCCAUUGAGCACCUCGUCCAUGCUCACCAGCGGAUGAUACGCUAACGCGUUCUCCUCUCUGGAAAUAUCGGCUUGAAGGCAAGCGAUGUGGACGACGGCUUGAGCCGGCUCUACAAACGGCCCAAGGCGUCGGCUCAAGGGCAGCAGCAGUGUCAACCCAACUGUAUCGUUUCAUGUGGUGCCGCGCAAUAUGAGCCCUGUCAUUCGCAAUGGCUCAAUGCUGUGCCCAUGAUUAGACGGCAGAAGAAGGAGCCAGAGAAACCAAUGCUAUCUUCUCUGCACUUCUCGCCAUCGGAUUAUGUGUACAAUCCUGCGCUCGGGAAGGCUCUUGGUGUGCCCAAAAGGGGAGUCCUCUAGCGAUCAGCUCUGCCGUCCAGUCUUUCCCGCCACAGGUGCCCUUGCAGAAGCAAACCAGCGUCUCGGUGAGUGUUGAAUCCCACUUAUGAUCGCCACCGUAAACGUAUACUGAGUAGGCGCGCCACUUUUUCCUCUUGUUUGGUUUUUCAGCUAGGUUGCUAUUGCCGAGUCUGCGAUCGAGAGCGACGCGGCUGGUGUAACUGUGGAAAUCCAGACUGGGGUCGAUGAUUCCUACAUGGGACACUACUAGGAUGAUGGAGUCGGCUGCCCCAUGGAAAUACACUCAGAGGUGCUGCCUAUUUGUCAGUACCAGUGGAUUGCUGAAGCAAAAGGAUUCUUCCCGGUGCCCUGCAAGUGGCACAACUGGCCGCAGCAUUGGACUUGAUAAAAGUGGGCAAGUUCAUGUGCGAGGCAUAAGUGUUGAUGGUGUGGAUACAGAAGACGCUCGGCCUUCGAGUUAUUACAUCGUCUUUCAUACAUGUCUGAUGGUGCUCUUGAACCUCUGCCACACAUGCCUCUCUACUGCCUGCACUGUGAAGCUUCGGAACUCUGAGACUCGCAUCACAGCAAGAGUCAAGUGCCCUAACACACACACGUACACAUGGUGAUGUCAACCUCUUGUUGGCGACAAGCCAAAGGGGAGCAUUGACUUGGCCACAGCAUUGCUGUUUUAUGGAUUGAGUGUUGCCUCCAGCCUAUGAAUGAUGCGUUUUAUGGGUCUCCAAGCAGUCAUUGAGCAAUCCUUCUUCUGAAGUAAGGCAUGUUGUUGGUAUAGUUGGUUCAUAAAUUUAUAAGAACGUUUAAACUGCACGAAGAAGACACGUUAGAAACAUAUAACAUGCACACACAUGAAGUGCAGACAUUCAAGUGUGUUUAUUUCUUGAAGGUAAAACAUUUAUAAGAGUUGACAGAGAGCAAUUGCACUGAUAGUCUAACAGGCUGCGAAAAUGUGGCAAGACUUCGGGCACGUUACAAUUCCAGAAGGGUCCAUCUUAGAUGUGACCAUCUAAGAAAUUUAUUUCCUUUUGUCUUUUUUUGCUAUGAAGAAAACCUUGAUGACAUCGUUCUGUUCUCGUUUUUGCCUUAGAGAGGGAUUUAGUUUUUUCCAGCUGAGGAAAACAGCUCAUGCUGUCGCAGUUCUUGCAUUGUAAGGCAAGAUUACUGUCCGAGCCAGUGCGCAUGGAUUGCUUGUGUUCCUGCGCGCAUUCAUUGAAGCAGCGGCCGGUUUGACCAAUAUAUGACCGACCACAGGACAAAGGAAUUUAAUAAAUAAUAUUUGAUAUGCAUUUUGUGUACUUAUUCUUGCA
rnacentral:lncRNA from 1 species